rnacentral:tRNA from 1 species
GGAGAGAUGGCCGAGUUUGGCUUAAGGCGGCUGAUUCGAAAUCAGUUGUCCACCUCCAGGUGGACCGGGGGUUCGAAUCCCUCUCUCUCCGCCA